GGAGAUUUAGCUCAGUGGUAGAGCACUUGCCUAGCAAGCACAAGGCCCUGGGUUCAGUCCCCAGCUCCG
rnacentral:tRNA from 1 species